rnacentral:ncRNA from 1 species
CUCUCUGAGUUUAUGCAUAUCAAUAAGUGGAGGAAAAGAAAUCUACAAGAAUUCCCUUAUUAACGGUGAGCGAACCGGGAACAGCCCAGCUUGAAAAUCGGGCGGCUUCGUCGUCCGAAUUGUAGUAUGGAGAAGCGUCCUCAGUGGUGGACCUGGCCAGAGUCCCCUGGAAGGGGGCGCCGGAGAGGGUGAGAGCCCCAUCGUGCCCGGACCCUGUCGCACCAGGAGGCGCUGUCUGCGAGUCGGGUUGUUUGGGAAUGCAACCCCAAUAGUGCGGUAAAUUCCGUCUAAGGCUAAGUAGUGGCGUGAGACCGAUAGCGGCAUUGUCUGCCAGGACUGAGGAAAAUGCGGCAUGGAAAGGUCGGGCUGAGUAUAGGAUGGGCCGUAAGCCUAUAAGAAUUAAAAAAAAAAUAAUAGUUAUUACAUAACAUUAAAUUGCUCGUAGAUAAAUGAAAUAAAAUUAAGAUAAUAUACCUGCAUGGAUGGGAUGGAGUGGGUAAAGGAUGGCAUGUACGGGCCGGGCUGCUGCGUAUAGAACGGGCCCCUAUCUGGAUAAACUCAUGGUGAUGGACGGGGUGGAACCGAUAUACCCAUAUACUUAUAUAUUUCACCCAUGCCAGUCAUCAGCCACCCCAUAUCAUCAUGCAUCCGACAGUGUCAGAAGUCGCAUCUGCUCAUUCUGGUUACGCAAAAUCCUGUCAAGAAGACGGUUGGUUGACCGAGGCAACCUAACCGCACGAUAAACUCUCUGUGGAUGCUAAGUAUAAACGUAUAAAGCAUGUAUGUUGGAUUUGAUUGUAUGAAUAACGUAUUUGCAAAUAAGUGUUUGCGUGCGUUUUGCAUAUAUAUAUAUAUAUAUAUAUAUAUAUAUAUAUAUAUAUAUAUAUAUAUACUAGUAGUUUACCCGCGCGAUGCGG